rnacentral:rRNA from 1 species
CAGCAGCCACGGUAACACGUAGGGUGCAAGCGUUAAUCGGAAUUACUGGGCGUAAAGCGUGCGCAGGCGGUUAUAUAAGACAGAUGUGAAAUCCCCGGGCUCAACCUGGGAACUGCAUUUGUUACUGUAUAGCUAGAGUACGGCAGAGGGGGAUGGAAUUCCGCGUGUAGCAGUGAAAUGCGUAGAUAUGCGGAGGAACACCGAUGGCGAAGGCAAUCCCCUGGGCCUGUACUGACGCUCAUGCACGAAAGCGUGGGGAGCAAACAGGAUUAGAUACCCCAGUAGUCCCUGUCUCUUAUAC